GACAGAGGGUGCAACCGUUGUUCGGAAUUACUGGGCGUAAAGCGCGUGUAGGCGGUUCGGAAAGUCGGAUGUGAAAGCCCUGGGCUUAACCCAGGAAGUGCACUCGAAACUCCCGAACUAGAGUCCUGGAGAGGAAGGCGGAAUUCUCGGUGUAGAGGUGAAAUUCGUAGAUAUCGAGAGGAACAUCGGUGGCGAAGGCGGCCUUCUGGACAGCGACUGACGCUGAGACGCGAAAGCGUGGGGAGCAAACAGG
rnacentral:rRNA from 1 species